UCAUCACCCUGUGACAUACCUAAAACGUUGCUUCGGCGGGAACAGACGGCCCUGUAACAACGGGCCGCCCCCGCCAGAGGACCCCUAACUCUGUUUUUAUAAUGUUUUUCUGAGUAAACAAGCAAAUAAAUUAAAACUUUCAACAACGGAUCUCUUGGCUCUGGCAUCGAUGAAGAACGCAGCGAAAUGCGAUAAGUAAUGUGAAUUGCAGAAUUCAGUGAAUCAUCGAAUCUUUGAACGCACAUUGCGCCCGCCAGUAUUCUGGCGGGCAUGCCUGUUCGAGCGUCAUUACAACCCUCAGGCCCCCGGGCCUGGCGUUGGGGAUCGGCGGAAGCCCCCUGUGGGCACACGCCGUCCCUCAAAUACAGUGGCGGUCCCGCCGCAGCUUCCAUUGCGUAGUAGCUAACACCUCGCAACUGGAGAGCGGCGCGGCCAUGCCGUAAAACACCCAACUUCUGAAUGUUGACCUCGAAUCAGGUAGGAAUACCCGCUGAACUUAAGCAUAUCAAUAAGCGGAGGA
rnacentral:rRNA from 1 species